GUGGCUAUGGUGUAAUGGUAACACUACAGGUUGUGGUCCUGUCAUUGAGGGUUCGAAUCCCUCUAGCCACC
rnacentral:tRNA from 1 species